rnacentral:tRNA from 1 species
GGGUGGGUGGCUCAAUGGUCAGAGUCUAGCUCUCAUAACCGAAAGGUUCCGAGUUCGAACCUCGCCAGAGGCA